AGUAAGUAUAGUUUAACUAAAAAUAUUAGAUUGUGAUUCUAAAGAUAGGGGUUAAAAUCCCCUUACUCACC
rnacentral:tRNA from 1 species